GUAGGUGGCAAGCGUUGUCCGGAAUUAUUGGGCGUAAAGCGCGCGCAGGCGGUUCUUUAAGUCUGAUGUGAAAGCCCACGGCUCAACCGUGGAGGGUCAUUGGAAACUGGAGAACUUGAGUACAGAAGAGGAAAGCGGAAUUCCACGUGCAGCGGUGAAAUGCGUAGAGAUGUGGAGGAACACCAGUGGCGAAGGCGGCUUUCUGGUCUGUAACUGACGCUGAGGCGCGAAAGCGUGGGGGGAGCAAACAGGAUUAGAUACCCUGGUAGUCCACGCCGUAAACGAUGAGUGCUAAGUGUUAGGGGGUUUCCGCCCCCCCCUUAGUGCUGCAGCUAACGCAUUAAGCACUCCGCCUGGGAGUACGGCCGCAAGGCUG
rnacentral:rRNA from 1 species